rnacentral:rRNA from 1 species
GACGAACGCUGGCGGCGUGCUUAACACAUGCAAGUCGAACGGAAAGGCCUCUUUCGGGGGGUACUCGAGUGGCGAACGGGUGAGUAACACGUGAGUAACCUGCCCUUUACUUUGGGAUAACUUCAGGAAACUGGGGCUAAUACCGGAUAGGAGCUCCUGCUGCAUGGUGGGGGUUGGAAAGUUUCGGCGGUUGGGGAUGGACUCGCGGCUUAUCAGCUUGUUGGUGGGGGAGUGGCUUACCAAGGCUUUGACGGGUAGCCGGCCUGAGAGGGUGACCGGCCACAAUGGGACUGAGAUUCGGCCCAGACUCCUACGGGAGGCAGCAGUGGGGAAUAUUGCACCAUGGGUGGAAGCCUGAUGCAGCAACGCCGUGUGCGGGAUGACGGGCUUCGGGUUGUAAACCGCUUUCGCUCAUGACGAAGCUUUGUGUGACGGUAGUGGGUAAAGAAGCACCGGCUAACUACGUG